GUCUUGAUGGAUGCUUGGACUUCCUCAUCCCACCACCAAAUCUCCCUAGGAGCCUGAUGCCUACUCUUUGCUUCCCCUAGAACUUCUUUGGCAACUCUCUUAAAACAAGUCAUCAUUUCGUUCCACAUCACAUUGGUGUCUCCUUCAAAGUCCCACUUUCCUUGUUUAACCACAUUUUCAGUACAUGUGCCUAAGGACUCCCCUUUUAGUCUCCACCUUCUUAUCUUAGGGCAAAAAUGUUCCCCUAGCCUACA